rnacentral:misc_RNA from 1 species
UGAAACUAAAAAUCAAAAUAAAAAUAAAAAUAAUGGAUGGGAUUCAACAAUUGGGACUUCCAAUACUUGGAAUUAUAGCAGCAGCUGCUGUUACAUUUUAUGCAGUCAGCUUCUCAGAAAUUAGAGAGAAAUCAUUAAGAGAUUAUGAGGAUGGAGAAGAAUUUGGAAGUGGUGGAUUCAAGUAUGUUAGCUCUAGAGAAAGGAGAGCUAGAAAAAAAGCUGAUAAACAAAAAUCAAAAUCUUAGAUUUUUUGUACUCAUAUUUUCAUGUAUCUUAUUUUCUAUUGCAAUUUUUGUUGUCGAAAUCAGAG